rnacentral:rRNA from 1 species
UACAGAGGUCUCAAGCGUUGUUCGGAUUCAUUGGGCGUAAAGGGUGCGUAGGCGGCUUAGCAAGUCGGAUGUGAAAUCCCUCGGCUCAACCAAGGAAGUGCAUCCGAAACUGCUGAGCUUGAGUACUUAAGAGGAUCGCGGAAUUCCCGGUGUAGAGGUGAAAUUCGUAGAUAUCGGGAGGAACACCAGUGGCGAAGGCGGCGAUCUGGGAAGAUACUGACGCUGAGGUGCGAAAGCGUGGGGAGCAAACAGG